UACGUAGGGUGCAAGCGUUAAUCGGAAUUACUGGGCGUAAAGCGUGCGCAGGCGGUUUUGUAAGUCUGUCGUGAAAGCCCCGGGCUUAACCUGGGAAUUGCGAUGGAGACUGCAAGGCUUGAAUCUGGCAGAGGGGGGUAGAAUUCCACGUGUAGCAGUGAAAUGCGUAGAGAUGUGGAGGAACACCGAUGGCGAAGGCAGCCCCUGGGUCAAGAUUGACGCUCAUGCACGAAAGCGUGGGGAGCAAACAGG
rnacentral:rRNA from 1 species